AACGAACGCUGGCGGCGCGCCUAAUACAUGCAAGUCGAGCGAGAAGGUGUAGCAAUACACUUGUAAAGCGGCGAACGGGUGAGGAAUGCAUGGGUAACCUACCCUCGAGUGGGGAAUAACUAGCCGAAAGGUUAGCUAAUACCGCAUACGUUUCCGGAACUUCGGUUUCGGAAAGAAAGCAAUACCGUGGGUAUUGCGCUCCUGGAUGGGCUCAUGUCCUAUCAGCUUGUUGGUGAGGUAACGGCUCACCAAGGCUUCGACGGGUAGCUGGUCUGAGAGGACGAUCAGCCACACUGGCACUGCGACACGGGCCAGACUCCUACGGGAGGCAGCAGUAAGGAAUAUUGCGCAAUGGACGAAAGUCUGACGCAGCGACGCCGCGUGGGGGAUGAAGGUCUUCGGAUUGUAAACCCCUUUCGGGAGGGUAAGAUGGAGUGGGUAACCACUUGGACGGUACCUCCAGAAGCAGCCACGGCUAACGUUCGUGCCAGCAGCCGCGGUAAU
rnacentral:rRNA from 1 species